rnacentral:rRNA from 1 species
AACGAACGCUGGCGGCAUGCCUAACACAUGCAAGUCGAACGAGACCUUCGGGUCUAGUGGCGCACGGGUGCGUAACGCGUGGGAACCUGCCCUUAGGUUCGGAAUAACUCCCCGAAAGGGGUGCUAAUACCGGAUAAUGUCUUCGGACCAAAGAUUUAUCGCCUUUGGAUGGGCCCGCGUUGGAUUAGCUAGUUGGUAGGGUAAAAGCCUACCAAGGCGACGAUCCAUAGCUGGUCUGAGAGGAUGAUCAGCCACACUGGGACUGAGACACGGCCCAGACUCCGACGGGAGGCGGCAGUGGGGAAUAUUGGAAAAGGGGCGAAAGCCUGAUCCAGCAAGGCCGCGUGAGUGAUGAAGGCCUUAGGGUUGUAAAGCUCUUUUACCCGGGAUGAUAAUGACAGUACCGGGAGAAUAAGCUCCGGCUAACUCCGUG